rnacentral:rRNA from 1 species
GACGAACGCUGGCGGCGUGCUUAACACAUGCAAGUCGAACGGAAAGGCCCUGCUUUUGUGGGGUGCUCGAGUGGCGAACGGGUGAGUAACACGUGAGUAACCUACCCUUGACUUUGGGAUAACUUCAGGAAACUGGGGCUAAUACCGGAUAGGAGCUCCUGCUGCAUGGUGGGGGUUGGAAAGUUUCGGCGGUUGGGGAUGGACUCGCGGCUUAUCAGCUUGUUGGUGGGGUAGUGGCUUACCAAGGCUUUGACGGGUAGCCGGCCUGAGAGGGUGACCGGCCACAUUGGGACUGCGAUACGGCCCAGACUCCUACGGGAGGCAGCAGUGGGGAAUAUUGCACAAUGGGCGGAAGCCUGAUGCAGCAACGCCGCGUGCGGGAUGACGGCCUUCGGGUUGUAAACCGCUUUCGCCUGUGACGAAGCGUGAGUGACGGUAAUGGGUAAAGAAGCACCGGCUAACUACGUG